GCCUUAAGGAUUUGAUAUGCACUAACCCAGCGUUUAGAGCACUCCUCCUCAGACUCUCAUCACAUCCUGCUGUCAAGGAUGUAGAUGUGUAUGAACGUUUGAUAUGACCGCAAGCCUUUUCCUCUCUCAACAUGCCUGCAGCGAUGCACCUCACUGUGCUGGUGUCCCUGCUUGCAGUGACUGUUUCUAAAGACGCCACAACUUCCUCCACAACCAAACAGGUAACAGAGAUAAUCACAAAUGCUGCACACCACAUCAGUUUGGCUACAAAGAACAAUACUAGCAUUGUGAAAGACAUCACCACACCACAAGAGCUAACAACAACAACUGACCGGAUUACCACUACAGUCCCUUCAAAAAAUGUGUCAUCAUCACCACUGCCGGCUUCCACACAGACGGCGAGCACGAGAGAGGAAACACAUUCCAGUGUCUCUUCUCAGAUUACAACGACCUACCAGACGUCCAACGAGACAGUUUCCCACGGAUCGACACUCCCACAAGCAUCAGAAUCACCAAACACCACUGCAACCACCACUGCAAACACAACCAGUCCAGGUCUUUUACCUGAAUGGGAUAAAGGUGACUUGUCAGAAAAUCCCGGCCUUGUGGCCAUCCUUUGCAUCUUCUGUAUCAUCAUCGCCCUUCUGCUGGUGGUUGUCACUGUGAAAUGUAUCCGAUCACCGAGGUCCAACUUUGAGAGGCUUGAAGACGUUCCCAUGAACAAAGUGAACGAGGGGUCUCCGUUCGCCCAGUACUCAAAAUGACAGAGGAAACUUCAUCAGACAUCCAGGAGGAGUCUGGUCUGCUGUACAACUCUGAUGAUUCUGGACAGAAAAGAAAACAGAAAUGUUGUCCAGACAAAACAACUUUUAUGUUUUUCUCUCUUAUUUCUUAACAAAGCACUUUUAUCAAGGAGAGUGAAGUAUUUAUGCCUCAUCUUUGACCUUUGACCUGCUUGUAUGGUUGCUUUUACCUCUACUGAUUGAAGCUGAAUCAAUUGUUGCACUAACUCUUCCUUUAUAGUUUAUUUUGAAAGAGUAUCAGCCUGAAAGAUACAAAUGUAAAUUGAAUGUUUCCAAAAUUGGUGAUGUAUUUCUUUAUUAACACUUAAAAUGAAUAAUUGCACUCAAGUAACAAGUGACAUUAUAAGAAUACAUUUUAAGUUUCCAUGAUAAUUAUUUUGUCGUCAACAGUGCUCAGGAAGAUGUAUUUCCAGUGUUGAAAGUUUACGGGAAUAAAGUUAUCUGCAUGUACACAUGCAUUUUUGAGCAAUUAUUAUUACUAUAUAUUAUUAUUAUUAUUAUACAUAUAAAUAUAACUAAUUGGAAUGCACAAGUUCAUGUCAAAUAUAUGUUUUUAUUAUGUUAUUUAUUGCCAUAUACUAUGAUGUAUAAAUAAUGUCUACCCUGGCCUGAGACAUCCAAAGUAAAUGUUUUUGAAGUCCAAAAACAGUUUUGAAUAAUAAUCUAAUUUGUUGAGUCAAAUUUCAGCAAGAACAAUGAAGAAACACAAUUUAAUAGAAUUAUUAUGGCCAAAAAACAUGAAGACUGCCAACUAACCAGUGAAAGAUAUGGAAAAAAUGACAAAGGUAAUAUACGAAGACUGGCUAGAAAUAAUGCCAACAAGUGCAGGUAUUGUACUUUGGCUCGCUGAACCUGCAAAUUCAACUAGUUUAUAUGUGUUGGCUAUUAAGUAAUCCUAGUAAAUUAGAUUAUUUCUGCCUUAACAAACAAUACAAUGAGUCUGCAGAAACACGACAUACAAUUCCUCGUUUUUUUUUAUCUUUACACCUCAAAGACAAAAUUGUUUUCACUCUGUAUACCUCUUCACAAACAAUGUUGACACAUGUAAUCCUUUACUGAAUCAUAAGUGUGUGGCAAAGCUGCUCUCAUUCAUUAAUGUUAACUCUGCUGACAUACAUCUCUCUAAAGUGAUGACAGAGACACAGCUUUCUUUCAAUCAAGAAUAAUAUUUUCAGACUACUUGAAAAUGUUAUAAAUAAUAUUCCACUUACCUGUUUCAGAAAAAGUAAUUUUACUGCAUGUUUACACUCAGGGAUUUCAGUAAAUCAUAGUUUUAAAAGUAUAGAUGAUCCUCAUAUAACCCAGC
rnacentral:lncRNA from 1 species